rnacentral:misc_RNA from 1 species
GUACAAUUUGGGAUGUCGAAUGGCGUACUAGCGUGACUGGUUUUCGUCGUUGUUCUCCCUUUUAAAACAAAAUAAUGCCGCGUUCUAAGAAAGUUUCUAAAAAGAUGACGGACGAAGAAGAAAAUAUGUCUGAUAGUGACUUUGGGGAAGAUGAAGAUCCUGAUAAAAUUGAGGUGCCAGGAGGCGGUAAAGAUCUGGCUGCAGCAGCUGCGAUGCUGGAAUCGAGGGAGAAACAACUUAAACAAGAGGCCCUAAAACAAGAACCUUUCAAAGAAGAAUACAAACCCGACAUGGCUAAAAUGAUGCAAAUGCCAAUGAAUGCUUUCCCCAAAAUGGCCCAGAAUAUACAUCCCAGUACAUAUGACAUGAUGAGAGCACCUACAAUGGGUUCCCCAUACGGGAUGAGCAGUGUGGCCGCAAUGGCAAGUAUGCUCAACAGUUUGGGGAGCCCGAUCAACGUCAGCUCUUUAUUCCCACCCCAAGCUUCUGGCACGGGAGCAGGACCUGGCUUCAACGCUGCACAGUUUCUGCAGCAGAGUAAGUCCUAUAUCAGGAGCUUGGAGAUGCUUAAUCCCUACUUUAACCCCGGAUAUUUCUCGAUGUUCUACCCUGGCGGAAACAUGGCUCCGUGGGGCGGACCUCUUAGCAAUAAAGCUGUCCAGUCCAUGUGGAUGAACCAGAUGGAUAACAAACCCAUGCCUCAUCAAGAAGAGGAGGAAGUAGACGACGAAGAACUGGGGGUUGCUGAAACCUACGCCGACUAUAUGCCAUCGAAACUGAAGCUGGGCAGAAAACAUCCUGACCCCGUUGUCGAAACAGCUUCGUUAUCUAGUGUAGCUCCAGCCGACGUUUGGUACGAACUGUCGAUACCGGACGAGACUAUAAACAAAGGACAUUUGUCUGCUUUGCAGUUGGAGAGUAUUACUUAUGCUUCACAAGCACACUCACACAUAUUACCAAAUAAGUCAAGGGCUGGAUUCUUGAUAGGUGAUGGUGCGGGUGUUGGCAAAGGCCGUACCAUAGCCGGAAUCAUCUUCGAAAAUUACCUGAAAGGCCGCAAGAAAGCCAUCUGGGUUUCGGUAUCGAACGAUCUCAAAUACGAUGCCGAACGUGAUUUGCGAGACAUCGGCGCCGGGAAAAUAGACGUGCACCCUCUCAACAAACUCAAAUACGCCAAAAUCAAUUCCAGUACCAAUGGCAACGUGAAGAAAGGAGUCGUGUUUAGCACUUAUUCUGCCUUGAUUGGGGAAAGCAACUCGGCCGGGGGAAAAUAUAAGUCCAGACUGAAGCAGUUGUUGCAGUGGUGUGGAUCUGAUUUCGAUGGGCUUAUAGUUUUUGACGAGUGUCAUAGAGCUAAGAAUUUAUGUCCCGUUGGUUCAUCCAAACCCACAAAAACCGGUUUAACUGUCCUCGAAUUACAAAAUAAGCUUCCCCAGGCGAGGGUUAUUUAUGCGUCAGCUACAGGAGCCUCAGAACCAAGAAACAUGGCCUACAUGGUGAGAUUAGGAUUGUGGGGUGAAGGUACACCUUUCAAAGAAUUUGCAGAUUUUAUAUCGGCAGUUGAAAAGAGAGGUGUAGGAGCUAUGGAAAUUGUAGCCAUGGAUAUGAAGUUAAGAGGAAUGUAUAUAGCGAGACAACUUAGUUUCCAUGGUGUAGCUUUUAAGAUAGAAGAAGUUCCCCUUUCCAAAGAUUUCGAAAAAGUAUAUGAUGCCAGCGUGAAGUUGUGGGUGGAAGCGAUGCAGAAGUUUCACGAAGCUGCAGAGCUAGUCGACGCCGAAAAUCGAAUGCGCAAGACUAUGUGGGGACAGUUCUGGUCGUCGCAUCAACGGUUUUUCAAAUAUCUUUGUAUAGCAGCUAAGGUACCGCACGCUGUAGCAGUUGCACACGAAGCUAUAAAAAUGGGAAAAUGUGUAGUAAUAGGUUUACAAAGUACAGGAGAAGCCAGAACUCUGGAACAGUUAGAAAGAGAUGACGGAGAAUUAUCCGAUUUUGUUUCUACUGCCAAAGGUGUAUUUCAAACGUUGGUCGAGAAACACUUUCCUGCGCCUGAUCGGAAUCGUAUCCAUAAGCUUUUAGGUUUGGAACCUGCUCCUGCUAAAAAAGCUCCUGCUACAAACGGAAACGAUGAAGCGAACAGUUCUUCAAGCAAACGUAAACCAGUUCGACAAGCGGCAGCUCGAGCAAAUAAACGGAACAAAUGGUCGACGUCAGACACUGAAGAAUCGAUCAAAAGCGACGGUUCUGAUUUCGAAAUGUCAGAGGCGGAAAGCGAAAUAUCCGAAGAACAUUCCGAUUCCAACGUCAGUAGUGAUUUCAAUCCAUUCCAGUCGGGCAGCGACUCAGAUGACGAUCCUUGGAAUAGAAAGAAGAAGGGAAAGAAGCAGAAAAAACCCCCGAAAAAGAAGAUUUCUGCUCAGGAUAAGCUGUCGUUGAUGUUGAGUAGGAAGACUAGUAAAGCUAACAAACCAAACGGGAGCGGUUUCCCGCCCGUAGCCCCACCGAUGGACGCCAUCGAACGCGCCUGUAGCAUGAAAGAAGAAUUACUGACAGCUAUCGAGAAGUUGGGAGAAAAACUGCCGCCUAAUACAUUGGAUCAGCUCAUAGACGAACUGGGAGGUCCGGAAAACGUCGCCGAGAUGACUGGUCGUAAAGGACGAGUAGUGUCGACAGAAGAUGGCGGAAUUCAGUAUGAGAGUAGGUCAGAAAAUGAUGUUCCUUUAGAAACAUUAAAUCUGACAGAAAAACAAAGGUUCAUGGAUGGCGAGAAGGAUGUGGCUAUUAUUUCAGAAGCUGCAUCAAGUGGUAUUUCACUUCAGAGUGACAGGCGAGUUAAGAAUCAAAGACGGAGGGUACACAUCACAUUAGAAUUACCUUGGUCUGCCGAUAGGGCUAUUCAGCAAUUCGGAAGAACUCACAGGAGUAAUCAAGUUAAUGCUCCUGAAUACCAAUUCCUUAUUUCUGAUCUUGCCGGAGAACGAAGAUUCGCAUCUAUUGUCGCAAAAAGGUUAGAAAGUUUAGGUGCUCUGACCCACGGCGACCGUCGAGCGACCGAAACGCGCGAUCUCAGUCAAUUCAACAUCGACAACAAGUACGGUCGUUCCGCUUUGGAAGCGACCAUGAAGGCCGUAAUGGGUUACGAACAACCGGUAGUCCCGCCCCCACGAGACUACAAGGGCGACUUCUUCAAAGACAUCGCCGCUGCGUUGAUCGGCGUGGGGAUGAUUGUAAAUAGCGAAAAUAUGCCGGGAGUGCUGUCCUUAGAUAAGGAUUAUAAUAAUAUGUCCAAGUUCCUUAACCGUAUUUUGGGUAUGCCUGUAGAAUUGCAGAAUAGGCUAUUCAAGUAUUUUACUGAUACUCUUGCUGCUAUCAUCACAUCAGCUAAAAAAUCCGGCAGAUUCGAUCUAGGUAUUCUGGAUCUUGGUGCUGGAGGAGAACUAGUGAAACGAGUUCGCACGGUGACGUUCCUAAGAAAACACGCGACAGGUAUCGCUCCCACAGAACUUCAUACGGUUCAUGUGGAACGAGGCAUGGCGUGGCCAGAGGCCUUAGAAAAGUUUUCAGAUCUGAUUGGAGAACAUGAAGGUUUCUGGAUAUCGCAUCAAAUCCGGAAUGGUAAAACGACUGCCAUCUUAGCCAUCGCUGUAGAUACUGGUGGUGGUGGGGGAGGCACCAAAGGCAAGAAGGAAGGUAAAAAGGAAAGCAAGAAAGAUAUGAUGUUUUCCGUGUACAGGCCGAACACAGGGUUGCAAUUCAGACAGGAGAGUUUAGCUGAACUAGAGAAAAAAUACAAAAAAGUGGAAUCUGGCGAAGCAGAAAAAUCCUGGUCUCAACAAUACGACGCUUCUGUAAAUACUUGUUCUCACGCAUAUUGGAGAGGUAAUUGCCGAAACGUCUCAGUAGGACACGAUUGUGAAGUCGGACUAAGACGAAGAACCUACAACGUAGUGUCUGGUUCGGUACUGUCGGUGUGGAGUAGAGUCGAAGGAGUUUUGGCGAGCAAAACGGGCUCUCAGAAUAAGAUGCAAGUUAUACGUUUACGGACCAAAGAUGACAUUAAAGUUGUGGGUACACUCAUUCCAAAAAAUUGUGUAGACGAUUUAAUCAAGGCUCUAUCGUCUGACGCGGAAAAGACAGAGGAAAAAACUUUCGAAGAUUAAAGAGACUGAAAAGUGAAGUAAAAACGCUAUCAUCAGUUGAACACUUGAUAUCACAAAUUUGCCAGUGUAUUUUUUCGUCCUUAACUUAUAUUGUUUGUUAAUUUUUCGAAUUUGUGAUAUCAAUUGUAACUUUUUAGGAAACAAAUACAGGGCAAAUAUAGUAUUUUGCGGCACUACAAAAAUGAGUUGCAUUGUAGUCCAGUGAAUCGUAUCGUGUGGAUUAAUUUUUUUUCUUUAUUUGGAAAGCCAAUCUUAGCAAAGGGAACCAAACGUUUUUGAUUUUUAAUUUUAUCCUUAAUUAUUACAUAUUAUAUAUAAGGUUCUUGAACUCCCUAGUGGAGCAUAGAGCUUUAGUGAAAACGCGCAAUCGGGUUCUAUUUUGCGCUAAGGCCUUCACCCCAUUCCAAGACUUUCCUUGACUUCUUAUCUCGUCCAUGAUGGAUCUUCUCCAAGUUUGUGUUGGGCAACCUCUUUCUCUUUUUCCUUGAGGAUUCCACUCUAGUGCAGUCUUUGCAAUACUGGAACUAUUUUUUCGGGGUGUUUCAACGGUGGAACUAUUUUUUCAAAGCGGGGAUCCAACCCCACUUUCUGGACAUUAUUUCAUUUUCUAUCCUUUUUUUGUUCGGUCAGGUGUAAGUAGAUCUUCGUUUCUGAUGAUUUUAGGCCAGAAAACGAACAAUUCUUCGUAGACAUUUGUUAACAAAGACCUGCAGUUUGUCUGUAAGGGUUUUUGUCACUUUCCAGGUUUCACAUCCGUGGGGUAGAACAGACAUGACAUUUGACUGGAAUAUUCGGAUCUUUGUCCUUGUAGUGUACUCGCCAGACCCCCAAACACUGUUGAGCAUGCUGAAUGCUUGUUCAGCUUUUCGUAUCCUCGUAUGAAUAUCGUCUUCUGUACCUCCGUUUUCUGUUAUGACUCUUCCAAGAUACGUAAAGUUUUCCACAUUUUCAUUCUGCAUAUUGUCACUAGUAAAUAGCGUGUUGUUCCUUGCAUUUAUUCUCACGGACUUGGUUUUACUAAUAUUGAUUUUCAAAUCUGUUUUAUUGGCUUCAGUACAAAGUGUUUCCAAUUGGCCAGCCACAUCUUGGAACCUUUGUCCCAAUAUGCAUAUAUCGUCCGUGUAUUCUAGAUCGUUUAGGCGUGUGGUUACCUUCAAUUGUAUCCCUCUUGUGUCUGAGUCCACUUUGGAGAGAACAUAGUCUAUAGCUAUGUUAAAAAGAAACGGAGAAAACACGUAUUCCUGUCUGACUCCAGUAAGUACGUCAAGUUAGUCCCUGUCUCAUGUUGAUCCCAUUGUGUAUCACACUGCGUUUCGCCUUUAUAAUGGAAAUUAUUUUAUGCGGAAUGUUUCUUAGCUCUAAAAUUUUCCAUAUAGCAGCAUGAGAUAAGCUGUCAAAGGCACAUUCGAAAGCAACAACAACUAGUAUAAUAGGGGUGUAAUAGAUCAAACUUAGGGCCAUCAUGAUAACUAUCAAAAUUAACCGCCCAAGAUGGGCGGCCAUGUUAUGUUUAUGGAUGAAAAUGAUCCUACCAAAAUAACUGCUAAAUGGACUUUAGACGUAUACAGGGUGUCCCCGAAAAUAGUGCGUUCCUUUAAGGUAUGGAUAUAAUACACAAUUUAGAACAAAAAAGUCCUAUAACAUUUUUUUCUAAAGUUAACAGUUUCCAAGAAAAAAAUUACAUUGUUCUCCAUAUAAGUGAGUUUUUAUUUUCAUAAAUUUGAAUGACAUGGCAACGUAGCCUAGAAGAACUUGCUGUGACUGUGGAAAUUUAAAGUAAUAACCCCUUGUUUAUUUACUUUGAGGUGUGAUUUUUGGGGUUGUUGGAUGUGGGUUUGGUUGAUAUUUACAUUAUUUUACCUAGCAGAUCCAACCGACCUACAAACCUACUUUUUUAAUCUUUAGAUUUUUGAGUUGCGCGUUUUUGCCAGACUUCAAUUUGCAUAUCAAAAUGUAUUUUCGUUUUUUGGUCAAACGGAUCACUUUAGAAAAAAAUGUUAUAAGACUUUUUUGCUCUACAUUGUGCCUUCACCUAUACCUUUAAGGAACGCACUAUUUUCGGGGACACCCUGUAUAUUGAGAUAGACAGUCUAACCUCCGCGCUUUCUGACAAAAUCUCUUGGUUGGCGGAAUCUCUUUCUAGCAUGUUGUAUCGAGAAACUAAGUGGGGUUAUGGCACGGAAAGGGAGAACUACUGUCGCAGCUUUACUAUGCGUAAGAGUGAAACAGCACUGAGCAAAAAAAAGGAUGGUGUCGUCACUUCACUGAACAUGACACUCUGUUUAUGUUAAUACAGGGUGUCCAGAAACUCUACCGACAAACGAAGACAGGAGAUUCCUCAGGUAAUUUUAAGACAAUUUAACCAAAUUCACCUUGUCCGAAAUUGCUUCCUAAGGGAGCUAGAGCUGUUUGAAAAUGGCGCCUUGUAAUUAGUGUUUCUUAAAUACCCCCAGAACGCUUCUAGUUAGAAAAACAAAAAUUGGUAUGCAUAUUUAUCUUCCAGAGAUACAUCGAUUACAUCCAUUGCGAAUUUAUAGUACCGGUCAUAGGCGUCCGUUUUGGGUAGGGUAUCGGUUAUUUUAUCGUAUAACUUUUUUGUCUUUAAAUUUUAUGCAUUUUUCACUUUGGAUUAUUAAAUUGUAAGGUAUGCUAGUACUAAAAGGUACUCUUGAUUUAAGUCGAUAGGACACACCGUUUUCUAGAAAAAUCGAUUUGAAAAUUUUUCGUCUCUUGAAUUUGAAAAAUGUUUUCAAAAAACGGUAUAUUUUACGAACUUAAACGAAGAGUAACUUUUACUCCUAUAAUACGUCAUAAUUUAAUAAUCUAGUGUCAAAAAUCUUAAAAAUUAAAGACAAAAAAAGUUAUGCGAUAAAAUAACCGUUGACCUACCCAAAACCGACGCAUAUGACUGAUACUUGAAAUUCGCAAUUAAUGAAAUCGAUUCAUCUCUGGAAUAUAAUUAAACGUACAAGUUUUCGUUUUUCUAAAUAGUUUUUUUUUAAUUUUUUUUUUGAAAUUUAAGGAACAAAAAAUUUUCAAAUCAAUUUUUCUAGAAAACGGUGUAUCCUAUCGACUUAACAAGAGUACCUUUUAAUACAAGAAUACCUCACAAUUUCAUAAUCCAGAGUCAAAAAUGCUUAAAAGUUACAGACAAAAAAGUUAUGCGAUAAAGUAACCGUUGCCCUACCCAAAACGGACGCCUAUGACCUGUACUAGAAAUUUACAAUGGAUGGAAUCGAUUUAUCUCUAGAAGAUAAAUAUGCAUACCAAUUUUUGUUUUUCUAAAUAGAAGCGUUCCGGAGGUAUUUAAGAAAAACUAAUUACCAGACGCCAUCUUCAAAUAGCUCUAGCUCCCUUAGGAAGCGUUUUCGGACUAAGUGAAUUGGGUUAAAUUGUCUUAAAAUUAUCUGAGGAAUCUCCUGUAUUCGUUUGUCGGUAGAGUUGCUGGACACCCUGUAUAUAUGUAUGUCUAUGAAAUAGGCCGAUCGAAAGAAGAAGAAGGGGGUGACAUAAAUUCAGAUAUCUGGAGGAUGUGCAGGAAGAUUUAAGGAGUAUUCCGUGAGAUUGAAGUAAGGGGAUUGAGAAGACAGGUACUCAACAAGGAAGAAUGUUUUGAGGCAAGCCAAGGCUCACGAAGGCUGUAGCGUCAACUGAUGAUGAUUCUUCAGUUAUGCGUUGAGAAUAAUAGCAGGGAAAGGGUCAUUAUAAACAAUAAGUUCUUUUAUGGCUCAAGACAGGCCGAUGAUUAAGGGGACAUCUUGGAUUUUAAAGCACCCUAUUGUGGCUGCAUUUUUAUUCACAGUGUUGCCAUGCUGUUUUCUAUAUAUUUCUUUCAUAAUUUCAAUCAAUGUUAAAUAUACCUACAAGAAUAAUAGAAUAAUAACAUUUACUUCUCCGUCAUUAUACUAGGUAUAAUGAUAAAUGAGGUGUCAAAUUAAAGCUUAUAAUCCAAGGAUAGGACUAAAGGUAAGAAAUUAGACCUAUUGUAGGUUGUUUGUCCGUCUGUCUGUCUGACCGCGAAUAUAACUCCUCCGUUACUAUACCAGGUAGAAUGACAAAUGAGGUGUCAAAUGAAAGCUUAUAAUCCAAGGAUGGUACUGAAGGUGAGAAAUUUGACAUAGGUUGUCUGUCCGCCUGUCCGUCCGACCGCGAAUAUAACUCCUCCGUUACUAUACUAGGUAGAAUGACAAAUGAGGUGUCAAAUGAAAGCUUAUAAUACAAGGAUGGUACUAAAGGUGAGAAAUUUGACAUAGGCUGUCUGUCCGUCCGACCGCGAGUAUAACUCAUCCGUCACUAUACCAGGUAGAAUGACAAAUGAGGUGUCAACUGAAAGUUUAUAAUCCAAGGAUAGUAGUAAAGGUGAGAAAUUAGACCUAGGUUGUCUGUCCGCGAAUAUAACUCCUCCGUCACUAUACCAGGUCGGACGGACAGGCGGACAGACAACAUAUGUCAAACUUCUCAUCUUUAGUACCAUCCUUGGAUUAUAAGCUUUCAUUUGACACCUCAUUUGUCAUUCUACCUGGUACAGUGACGAAGGAAUCAUAUACGCGAUCGGACAGACAGACGGACAGACAGCCUAGGUUAAAUUUCUCACCUUUAGUACCAUCCUUGGAUAAGCUUUCAUUUGACACCUCAUUUGUCAUUCUACCUGGUAUAAUGACGAAGGAGUUGAGUUUGCAAACAGACAGACAAGACGGACGUGGACAUGUUUUCACAUUUUUUCAAAAUUGGUGAAAACAACAACAUAAUAAACUUUACUUAAUUGGUGUUUCAAAACUACUUACUUUUAACACAUUAGGUACACAAUAUUACAAGGUUUCUAGCAAGUUAAACGUCACAAUGAUUUAAAAUAAUCAAGUAAAAACCUAUAUAUACAUAACAUAUUAGAACAUACCUAAAAUACACAAAAAUGAUACAUUUCACACACAAAAUAUAUUUAAUAUAAUAUCACAAAAAAUUGUAACGUGAUAGUAUGAAAAAAUAGAGGAUACGGCAACGGUGUUACAUGUGACGGUCGGCCCGGGUCGGAUUCAAUGCCAAUAUCUACACAGACAUAUAUUAGGGUGCUUUAAAAUCCAAGAUGUCCGAUUAAGGUAUAAUGGAAUCAAAGAAUAUAGACGUAAUAGAAUGGCACUGCCCUGUAACGUUUUAGCAUAGGAUUUUGUGCACCUACUGAGUAGGUGCAUGUGGCCUGACAAUGACUACGGUAUUUUCAAGGGACAAAUAAACGUUACCAUCUGUUCCAUUCAAACUCUUCUUCUAGGAGAGUAUAUAUUCGUUGAUGGAAUUUUACAAACUCCACAAAUCAAAUCUGUCCUAGGAUCCCAGUAACUGGAGGCGAAAAUACGUCGGUAUGGUAUGGUAUAUGAUACACUUCAUCAUAAAAGUCCCAUUUUAUCCUACUUUGAAUCUCGUAAGUGUUGUCUCGUAAGUCGAACGAAUUCGUUAACAAACUUUCAUAAUAUAAAAUUUACUAAUAAAAUGACAAUUAAAAAGGAUAAACGUUUUUUAUCUUAUUUAUUUAUUUAUUUUAUUUUUUUUUUUUUUAAUUUAAAAAGUUCAGGAGGUGGUGAAAUAGAUGUCAGAAUGAAACAAAAAAUCUACAUCGAAAUCUAAUCUGGUAUACUCAUUAAUAUUCAUCUGGGCGGGGUGGUAUUGUUCGAGGUGUGAAAUUCCAUAAACAUUGGAUCUACCUGUUUUAGGAAAUGAUUCCGUGUUUAUAUAAUUUUACACCUCGAACAAUAUCAUCCUGCUCAGCUGAAUAUUGAGGAGUCUCAGAUACCUUGUUUUACUUUAAAUACAUGAUCCACGAAUAAGGAAAUGUAUAGUUCCUAGACAUGAGAGUUAUUCACCAAUUGUCUCUUUGCGGUUAGAAAUUUCCCAAUCACAGAUAAACAUUAACGAAUCAAAGACGUUUGGUACCCUCUUUUUAAUUAAUUUUAAUGCACGUUUGUAAAACGUGCGUUAUUUGAAAAAUCUGUGAAAUAGUUAUAUUUAGGUAUGAUGUAUUUAUAUGACAAGUAGGAUUUUAUUAAAUACUUUUUUGUAUACAUUUUUGUUAGUUAUUUCGAGAGGAAAGACUUUGUCUUUUUUUAAAGGAUUUAUUUAAAAACGUGUAUAAUAUUGUGUUCACAGUAAAAAAUUCAUCUGA